rnacentral:rRNA from 1 species
UAGGGAAUUUUGCGCAAUGGGCGAAAGCCUGACGCAGCAACGCCGCGUGGGUGAUGAAGGUCUUCGGAUCGUAAAACCCUGUCGUCGAGGACGAAGGUUGGAGGGUUAAUAGCUCUUUGGCUUGACGGUACUCGGAGAGGAAGCCCCGGCUAACUCUGUGCCAGCAGCCGCGGUAAUACAGAGGGGGCAAGCGUUAUUCGGAAUUAUUGGGCGUAAAGGGCGCGUAGGCGGUUCGUUAAGUCAGAUGUGUAAUCCCCGAGCUCAACUUGGGAACUGCAUCUGAGACUGGCAGACUAGAGUACUGGAGAGGGUGGUAGAAUUCCACGUGUAGCGGUGAAAUGCGUAGAGAUGUGGAGGAAUACCGGUGGCGAAGGCGGCCACCUGGACAGUAACUGACGCUGAGGCGCGAAAGUGUGGGUAGCAAACAGG